CGGAAAUUCAGCUUUUGAGCAGAUUGAUUUUUCCCAGAUUCCUGGUGAGCUGUGAUGGGGAUGUCUGUGUACAACAGAGUCUCUGCUGAGCACAUGAUGGGGCAGAGUGGAUGUCCCCACUGUGGCUGACACCAAAGACACCAGAGGACAGUGUGCAUGGAUGGCACUAUUUUACUUCUCCUCACAUGCAGUGUUCCGUGCACAGAAAUCUUAUGUUUGUUCCGAGAAAAGUAUGCUGAGGGACUUCCAAGCCAAACUCUGGAAUCUGGGUUUCCACUCUUUGCUGGCUGUAUGUUCUUGAAAACUGUUGUGCCCGAGUCACAAGGAUCCCAAAGAGACCUGGGAGACAGACCACCAAUGCAAAUGCACAAGGUUGAUUAAAUUGUCUAUCCUACCAUGGGAGAGAUCCUGUCUAGCAAGCUGAUGCAGCAGCCUCCAAGGAGGCCCUGUCUACUGCUAGGUUUUAAAGUUACAGGAUUACAUCAGUAGUUUAUAAAGGAGCCUUCCUGCUGAUUUCCUUUGUGAAGAAUAUUGGACCUAGACUACCAAGUGUCCUUGCUAGGAUGGCAGUUGUGAAUCCCUCGGCUCCCUUCCUGGCAUACUAAUGCAAAUUAACCAGCAUGCAAGAGCAGAUCAUGUGCUGAGGGUAAAGGUCAGAGGAACUUGCUCUUGACACCACAGUAGCCCUGGAGCAAUGCCUUGUGGGACCGGUGUGCAACAUGCUAGCUUUCUAACCCAAAAAUCAUACUUCUUUCUAAAUCAGUUGCCUGUGGAUCAAAGUUGUAAAAUUCUCAGGUCAUUCUCCAGCACCAUAUCUGCCUGCAUGCCACCAUGUCCCACCAUGAUGAUAAUGGACUGAAUCUCUAAACUGCAGCAGAACUUGGCAGCUUUGGCCAUGGGGUUCUGGAGUUAAGGAUAGAAGAAAGGGGCUGUGUAAUUUGCUUCCAAGAUUGAGGAAAGCCAUGGAGGCCAGGCAUCUGUCAAUGGAGGCCUAGAAAGGCUAUUUCGUGAAGCUGUGGAGUUGAAUCCUGUAUUGCCUUGAAGACCCAAGAUGCUGGGGAUGCCAGAGCUGUCAGAUACCUGCCAAGGACAGCUGCUAACAGGGAGUGGAGUCAGCCCAAGAGAAAGAAGUGUAUUGUGCUCAACAAAGCUGAAAAGAGUUGGAGAUCUGAAGAAUGCUUUGACAUCAGACAUGGAGAUAAAGAGUUUGGAGUUAGCCCAGCUGGUUUUCUUUCUUGCUUUGGUCCAGUAUUUCCUCACUAUGUUCCCUUCCUACAUUUUGGAACAGUACUGUAUAUCCUGUGCCAUUAUACAUUGGACAUAUAAUGUGAUCUGUUUUUUGAUUUAUAUUUUAUAGGGGACUAUAGACAAGUGACUUCAUAAAUCUCAGAAGAGACUUUGACCUUUGGACUUUUGAACAUUGUUGAGAUUGUGACAGACUAUGGGGACCUUUGAGAUUGGACUAAGUGCAUUUUGCAUUAUGAUAUUGUUAUAAGCUUGUGGGGCCAGGUAGUGGAAUGUGGUGGUUUGAAUGUUUACUGACUUCUAUUUAUAUGUUUCUCUGAACUCAAACAACCUUUGGUGGACCAUUCCUUUCUUUGUUACAUUUGUGUAGAAAAGUACACUGAAACUGAAGUAAGAUUGUCUGCAGCAUUAGACUGUAGUCCUCCCUGUUCUUUCAGAUCCCAGAUCCAGCAGACCAGAUCUGCUCAGAUCGACGGAAAAGCUGACAACUCAGGAUGCCAAAUGCUUUCUAAUGAAUACAGACCUGCUCCAUGACUUCUGCCCAGGUCUAUGUCCUCAGUGGACAGGAUCAGCUAGACUGCCAAGGUCCCAAUCAUUUCAAGACUAAGAAAUUAACAAAACCCAGGCAGAGCUGUGGCAGGCACCACAAGCCUGCUUUUGCCAAAAGCACUAUCUCUUCCUACAGAUGACCUACUGUAGGGGAAGCUGUAGCCACUAUAGGUCCGAGAAGAGAUCUGGAACUAGGGAUAUCUCCAGAGACCUACAUGGAUGACACAAUCUGACAAUCCAAGAAAUGGUGGAUAGGAUAACCUAAAAGCCCUUCCCCUAAAAUGAGAUUGAUGACUUCUCUUUAUGCCAUCCUAGAGGCCUCAUCCAGUUGCUGAUGGAAGCAGGACAGACAUCCACAGAUAUUCACUGAGCUGAAAUCGGGAAUUUAGUUGAAGAGAAGGGAGAAUGAAGAUUGAAGGGGUCUGUACCAGGUUGGAGAAAACCACAGAAACAGUUGGCCUGAACAAGUGAGAGCACAUCAACCCCAGAUGCUGUCUGGGAGGCCACUGCAGGGGUGAGGGGAGGGAGAGGGAGAAGGGACUUUCAUUUGAAACAAUCUUGUUGGCUAACUUGAACUAAUAAAAAUUUAAAAAUAAAUAAAGGAACUUCUGGAGGCAUCACCA
ensembl:lncRNA